rnacentral:rRNA from 1 species
UCCGUAGGUGAACCUGCGGAAGGAUCAUUAAACAUCAUCGGGGAGUUGGAUCCAGAUUGUGGGGCUUCGGUCUCGCUUUCUGCCCUUCUCUUACUGAUUAUACCCAUGUCUUUUGCGUACUAUUUGUUUCCUUGGUGGGCUUGCCUGCCGAUAGGACAUCAUUAAACCUUUUGUAAUUGCAGUCAGCGUCAGAAAAACAUAAUAAUUACAACUUUCAACGACGGAUCUCUUGGUUCUGGCAUCGAUGAAGAACGCAGCGAAAUGCGAUAAGUAGUGUGAAUUGCAGAAUUCAGUGAAUCAUCGAAUCUUUGAACGCACAUUGCGCCCCUUGGUAUUCCAUGGGGCAUGCCUGUUCGAGCGUCAUUUGUACCCUCAAGCUCUGCUUGGUGUUGGGUGUUUGUCCCGCUUUUCGCGUGGACUCGCCUUAAAACAAUUGGCAGCCGGCAUAUUGGCCUGGAGCGCAGCACAUUUUGCGCCUCUUGUCAUGAUUGUUGGCAUCCAUCAAGACUAUUUUUUACUCUUGACCUCGGAUCAGGUAGGGAUACCCGCUGAACUUAAGCAUAUCAAUAAGCGGAGGA